rnacentral:rRNA from 1 species
UACGGAGGGGGCUAGCGUUGUUCGGAAUUACUGGGCGUAAAGCGCGCGUAGGCGGCUUUGUAAGUUAGAGGUGAAAGCCCAGGGCUCAACCCUGGAAUUGCCUUUAAGACUGCAUCGCUUGAACAUCGGAGAGGUAAGUGGAAUUCCGAGUGUAGAGGUGAAAUUCGUAGAUAUUCGGAAGAACACCAGUGGCGAAGGCGACUUACUGGACGAUUGUUGACGCUGAGGUGCGGAAGCGUGGGGAGCAAACAGG